UACAGAGGGUGCGAGCGUUAAUCGGAAUUACUGGGCGUAAAGGGCGCGUAGGCGGCUUGGCAAGUGGAUGGUGAAAUCCCUCGGCUUAACCGAGGAACGGCCGUCCAAACUGCUUCGCUUGAGACCGGGAGAGGUGAGUGGAAUUCCCAGUGUAGCGGUGAAAUGCGUAGAUAUUGGGAGGAACACCAGUGGCGAAGGCGGCUCACUGGACCGGUACUGACGCUGAAGCGCGAAAGCGUGGGGAGCAAACGGG
rnacentral:rRNA from 1 species